UACGUAGGUGGCAAGCGUUUGUCCGGAUUUACUGGGCGUAAAGAGCGCGCAGGCGGUCGUUUCAAGUCGAGUGUGAAAGCCCCCCGGCUCAACUGGGGGAGGGUCACUCGAUACUGAUCGACUCGAAGGCAGAAGAGGGAAGCGGAAUUCCCGGUGUAGUGGUGAAAGUGCGUUGAUAUCGAUAGGAACUCCGGUGGCGAAGGCGGCAUACUGGACCACAUCUGACGCUGAGGCGGCGAAAGCC
rnacentral:rRNA from 1 species